CCAUUUUAAGGCAUGUUACCGAGAGUCCUGAGAAGCUCUUCUCCCAUUGGAUUCUGGAUACUCCCAUUUCUGCCAGAUGUGUACCUGUUGAUUCUUUUCUAUAAAGACUGGUCCUGUUUGUCCUCUUGUGAAUACACAACACAAUUGCUGACAGAAGAUGGCAUAUAUUGCAUGAGAAGAUGAGCAAUUGAACAAGACUCUAAUGGCUCGAAACAUGAAAUGAUGUGCUGGGCUGCAGCAUCUUACGUGGUGUCCAUCACCUCUGACUUACCCCACCUAUUUUGGAUGAGACCUUCCAGGGCUUCUUGGAGCUGAUGAUGGUUGAAGCCUCAAACAUCAGGAGGGCACCAGGCUGGAGAAGGGCUGCCCUGCACUACUUCUCGACACACGGGAGCUUUUUGCACAAGGUGCUUCCUGAUGGAGGAUAUAAAUGCCCUGCCUCCUUCAGGGGGCUUGACAGUCUGUGACAAUGUGAGGGCCCAAGCCCUGGUGAAUGCAGGACUCCAAGACUCAGAUGGCUGCCCAGCUGCACCUGGAAUGCCUCUAAGUGCAGGAGCACCCAUGAGCUCCCUAGGGCUGCUGUGGACAUCCCGGUCUGGCCCCCAAGCAUGUACUUCAGCAUACAGAAAGCCCUUCAACUCAACCACUGGACACACAUUCUGAAUUCUAAAGCUGAGUUGUCACAAGUUGAAUAUCUGUUCCUUCAGAGAUUAUAAUGAAGAAGGGUGAGAACUUCCCAAAUGAAUUGCACAGACAGUUGCCCAUUCAUUUUUGGAUUCCUCUAACUCUUUCAGCUUAAAGUGGUUCUUCUAAGCAUGACUACCGGUGCUUUCAUAAACCAGAGAAUUAACUAUUCUAGAUACCUUGUAGCUUCCAGAAAAGGGUUUUAUUCUCCUUUGUAUUUAGCUUGGUCUGAUCCCUAAAUUGUAGUAGAUUUCACAACUAUAUUUGAAAUGUAUUUGUUUACUUAUCUUGCUGUAGAUGCAUGUGAACUAAGGAAUAGUGCUUGAACAUUUAUCUGCCUCUGCACAAAUGAGAAUUUUGCAGCUAAUGGCAUAAGAACAGCCAUGUGGGAUCAGACCAUCUUGUCCAGCAUUCCAUUCGCACAAUGGUCAACCUGCAAUCCACAGGACACCCACAAGCAGGACCUGAAUGUGACAGUACCCUCCCACCCAUGUUCCCCAGCAUACUGGACAUAGGCAUACUGCCUCUGAUACUGGAGAUAGCAUGCAGCCAUCACUGGAGCCUUCUCCUCCAUGAAUUUGUCCAGGUCCCUUUUUAAAGACAUCUAGAUAGGUGGCCCUCGAAGUGAAUUCCAUAGAUUAACUAUGAGCUGUGUGAAAUAGUACUUCCUUUUAUCUUCUCUGUGUCUCCUGCCAAUCAGUGUCAUGGUUACCUUACUGAGGGGGAAAGUAAUCUCCUUAACCACUUUCUCCACACCAUGCAUAAAUCUGUACACCACUGUCAUAUCUCCCUUCACUUGCCUUUUCCCAAGAUGUUGUAAUUCUCUUGAUAUUUCAGUUAUCUGUUUUUCACUUUGCUUAACUGUAUUAUCCUUUUUCAGACGCAGUGACCAAAACCGUGCACAUUAAAGCCUAUUUGCUUUUUGACGCACAUUCUUCCAGUCCUGAAAGAUCCUUCUGGAGCUCCUUGUAAUCACUUUUUGCUUUAAUCAUCCUAAAUAAUAUGGUAUUGUCAACAAACCUAUCUACUUCACUGAUUCCACUUAUUCAUAAAUGAGCUAGAAUUAAGAGUAAAAGCAUUGUUCCCAAUUAAAAUCCCUGUAGAACCUUACUGUCUAUAUCCCUUCACUAGAAGAAUCAUUGGGGGAUUUAUUCUUACUCUGGUUUUCUGUUCUUUGAUGAGAUAUCAGUCCAUAGGUUGACCUGUCCUUUAACUCCAUGACUAAGUCUGCUGAGGCAGCUUCAGUGACAGACUUAGUCAAAAGCCUUUUGGAAGUCCAAGUAAACAAUGUCUACUGGAACAACCCUGUCCGUGUGUUGUCCUUAAAAGGUUAGUGAGACAGGACUUACCCUGGAGAAACAAGUUAAUGCAUGCAGACUUGCACAAUCAUUUUAACAAUCAGUAUGUAUUGCUUAUUUAACCAUCAACCCAUUUAUUUGUAUAUCUUCAUUAAACUGUACUUACCACAUUACUGUUGGUGAUUGUCCAAUAUGCUGCCUCUACUGAUGCACAGAACAUCACAGCAAAGCAGAAGAAACCCUACAAAUAAACAGAAGGCACCAUUAGAAUAAAUACUUCUGGGAAGUACUAGCCUGGAGAUUCCUGAUAUUUGCAUUGAUAUGCGGUUUCACGUAUUUUUUUAAAGGAGGUUCUGGCUGGUAAACCCAAAAUUCCAACAUGUACAUCAAACAACCUUCCCGCCAAAACGGCUUCCCCAUUAAUGGAUCGCCUUCUGUUUGCAAUGCAUGGUCUCUCCCUGCAGCCUGGUUGUUUCAUCAUCUCAUCUCCCAAUUUUAUCUCUUUUUGUCCCUCUGUCACCCUCUAUGCCUCUCCUCAUGCAUCUUUGCUCUCUCACAUGCUUUGUGUCACACGAUUCCUCUUGCACAUACACACUGCCUACUUCUUUCUCUCCCUUAUCUUUCCCACUACUAAGCACAUAUCCCCAGCUUAUCCUCACACUGUUCAUGAUGAAGCUUCUGUGACAGGUGGUUUCUGAUUAGAUCACUACACAAUCAGAAUGCCCAAUCAACUGAAGCUUAUUUAUCUGGCACUCACAACCAAUGAAUCAAUUGUUUGGAUAAUACGUUGUCAUAAACAUCAGUUUAAACAGCUUCUGUUUAAACAGCUUCUGGAAAUACGAUGUGAAGUGUAAAACAAACAAAAGCUACCAAUCCAUUGUGAAAAGGGGAGACUUUCUUAAAUAUUUGUUCCCUCAUAUAGCUUUACACUAGAGUUAAAUAGCCACCAACACAUUCACAUGUCACCUUUAUUCCCAAUGAUGAAUUGUUGAAAGCUAACUUUAAUCAACUAAUGCUUUAGUUUCUUAACAUACGGAUUCCCGCUUUCAGCCUUAUGAGAACUAUUGAGUUCCAUGCAUACUGUUUUGACUUCCUUCCACUUGAGUAGACUGUUGUACCACAUGCCUUCAUUUCAAUGGAGUUUAGACAUGGGCUGUGCCCAUGGCUUCCAAAAUAAAAGCCAGCCUUCACGUCAGUGUUUUGUGAUGAGUUUUAGUAAAGAUGAAACCAUGUAAAAAAUCAUGUGGAAACCCUGCCACGGACAAAUCCAAUUUACUCCAGACAAAUCCAGACUCUGAAAACUCCUCGCUGACAUACUAGUCAGCCAAUGUUCUACCAUGGAUUUCUUUAUUUCAAGCAAGUCCAUGCAUGUACAAGAAUAGUCUUAUAUUUUAUUGUGAUUCAACUUUCAAGUAUCCAU